rnacentral:rRNA from 1 species
CGAACACGGAAGUUAAGCUCUGUUGCGAAGAUGAUACUUGGUUGGAGACGACCUGGGAAAGUAUUUCGAUGCCGGCA